UGCCGGGCUCACUCCCCCUCUAGAGCAAUGCAUCACAUUAAAACAGGGCACUGCUUCCACGCAGCACCCAGGCAGGGCAGGGCAGCAGACAGCUGGGGUGAAACUCUGCCCUGCGCCUUCUAGCUUCUCGGUUUGGUGACAAUGAGACCACCUUGCAGGGCCGUCACGGGAACAAGACGAGACUGCGUGCAGAUGCCCAGCGCGACGCCCACAGCAGGGAGGACCGAGUGAAGGGGACCUGUGCUCAAAUGCAGUUUCCUCAUCUGUGAAAUGGGAACAACGUCACUGAGGUGCUGACUUUGGCAGGAUGUAUAAGACACGAGGCCGGCAUCCAGGACAGGACAGAAGCGCAGUGAAGCUCCAAGAUGCGGAGGAAGAGUCACAACCACAAACUUCUGGUGUCCUGAGGAAACGCAACCUUGCUACGGACUCUUCCGCAAGGAGGCCUGUCUCUUGGAGGACAUCUGGGAAGGGGAGAUCUUGGGAGGUGUGCCCUGCACAGCACGGCAUUGAGACGGCCCCACUCGCUGAAGCGUAUCAGGCCCUACGGUGUGGACGGCGGAGCGGGGAGCCAGGGGGCAAGAGGGCAUACGAUAUAAAAACGAGUCUCCUCUUCAUCAAGACGACCUAACCUAGCUCUGCAAUGAUGUUGUGCCUUUUUAUGAGAAAGAAGAGAAUUUUCUCUUGUUUCAUUCAAAUCCCUUUAAAAAAAAUUUCAGUUUCAAAUUUUGAUUCUCUUGCAGUUUUUCUAAAGUAAGCUAUUUCUUUUAGUAGAAAACUGAGUUUUCCUAUAAAUAUACCUUACAAAGUUCAGUGCUCAAAAAAGUUACAAAAAUAGGCUUACAUUUAAAAAUCUUGUUGGAAUGUGUCUUCAAUAGUAAAAAAUCUGUGCUCCUGAUACAGCCGGUGUGAUUGGUGAAAGAGGUAGGGGUUUCUAUUCACUAAGGUUCUACAGCCCCAGCAAAGAAAAAACAAAGAUCAUUACAUUGUAAUAAUGCGCUCGUCAUCAGGAAAGAAAUGCAGAAUAGAUGUUAAGGGCAAUUUCAACAGCUGUCACUCUGGGUGAGCAGCUCAUUCCCUGCAGCGGGAGAUGGAUUUUUCUAAUACGUCUUAGAAAAUGAAACUGUCCAGGGCUUUCUCAAGGCUCAGAUUUGGGUAUCUGCCACUUUCAGGAUGAGUUAGCUGCUGGUGACAAGGAAUUAGAGGCUUCUGGAAUGGCCACCAGUGGCUGGGUCUGCAGGCACACCAGGGACCGCGGGGUCGUUUUGGCCCUGCCUCAGGAAUCUCUUCCACACACACAGUUUCUCUGAUUCUGCCCUGAGUUGCGGGCACGGUGUAGACGCCUAGGCUUGUACAAGGGAAGGUGACCUUAGAGAUGAGGGUUUCAACUCUGGUUGCCCAUUAGAACCACAUGGGGAGCCCGUAGAAUUCCCAUUCAGUUGGUCCUUUUGAGCUCACAGGCGGUCCUGGCGGGCAGCAAGGGUGAGAACCGCGAGUCACUGAAACCCAACAGCCGCAUCCUACACGCUGAGUGCGCCGUGAGCGGGAGGCCGUCAGCCCAAGGCUGAGUCUCCCCUGCAGAGCCUUUCCUUUACACGGCUGCUCCCCAAACUCUGGUGCUCGUCAGAGUCACCUGGGGGAGCUCUGAAAAUCCCUGGGCCCAGGCUGCACCUGAGACAAAUUCAGACCCUUUUUGGUUGGGACCCAGGAGACUCCCAAGGGCAGCCAGCCUGAGAACCACUAUCGUUGUGCUUCUGCAGUUCACGGUUCAUGUAUGUCUGCAGUUUGGGCGGGGGAGGGCUAAAGCUCAAAAUUAAGAACUUUCAACAAAUACCUAAGCCUUAUCGUCAACUGGAAUGCAACCUGCUGUCUCCACCGCUGUGCUCCUAGUUGUAAAAUCAGUGACAACUUGGACCAGAGCAAACCUAGAGUUUGGAAGAUUCAUCUCUGUCUUCCUGAGGUGACAGAACAAUUUUUCGUAGAGUGUGACUAUGGGGACUCCUUAAAGAUUAUGUGAGAAGAUGUGUGUAAGGCCCACUGGACAGCUGACCCUGGAAUGACUCAGGUUGGGGCGCUGACCCUCUGAGCAGUGGACCCGCCAGUAACUUUAGUAAGUCGGCGCUCUGGAGCCUCCGGUUCUUUAUCUGAGGAUUCAGCCAACGGGGGCUCGUGUAGAACUGUCACGUUCACUAGUGAAAAAAUCCACGUCUAAGGGGACCCGCACCCAUAUGUUGUUCAAGGGUCAGCUGUAAAUGUUAGCCUCUAACUCUUACUUCCCCCUGACCUGUUUCCAAAGGCCUGGUCUGGGGCUGGGCCAUGGGGAAGGGUUCCAGGGAUGGCUGGGGAGGAAACAGAAGACAGGCUCUCUGUGGGACCUCGGGGCCUGGUGUCAACUAGGAGGAACCAAAGGGGUGAGCGUUAAGCUUUGAGGUCCAGCCAGUCAGAGCCAAGACGUGGGAAUCCUGGAGCCCUGGGAGCCCCCCCUCCUGACUGCCCAGGGACCCCCGGGCUGGACUCAGGCUCUCUUGGGCUCUGA